rnacentral:rRNA from 1 species
UACGUAGGCAGCAAGCGUUGUUCGGAGUUACUGGGCGUAAAGGGUGCGUAGGCGGCUUCUUAAGUCUGGUGUGAAAUCUCCCGGCUCAACUGGGAGGGUGCGCCGGAUACUGAGGGGCUAGAGUGUGGGAGAGGAAAGUGGAAUUCCUGGUGUAGCGGUGAAAUGCGUAGAUAUCAGGAGGAACACCGGUGGUGUAAACGGCUUUCUGGACCAUAACUGACGCUGAGGAGCGAAAGCGUGGGGAGCGAACAGG